GACGCACCUGUUGCUACUCCUAGGUGAAGAGACUCAAGUGGAAGCUUGGUUUGGUCUGUUUGGAGAUACUGCUAAUCUUGAUGCAAGAUAGGUGCACGGUUUGCAAGUAAUGUACUAUAUGCCCAAAAUCAAUUUGGACACGCCUGAUGGAACUACUAGAUGUUGUAUGUCAUAUGUAACCUUGCUUUGGUCCGUUUGG
rnacentral:lncRNA from 1 species